rnacentral:sRNA from 1 species
AUAUGUUAUGUGUAUGAUUGAGUAUAAGAACUAGAACCGGAACCGGUUCC